CGGGACACCUUUCUAUCAAGUUCCGCGGGAGAGGCACCACAACCUCACGGCCGUUGCGAAGUGAUGAGUGAUAAAGCAGAGGAGUCCGCUGCUGGGCCCAAAGGCCAAGUGAGACGUCCUGGAAAACCCAUCACUCCGCCUCCGUUUAAGAAAAGGCUGAGCAUGCCGCUGCCAUCAGUGAGAGAGGAAGGAGACGGAGCAUCCCAGCCCGAGGGCUCAGCCAUGUCCUGGGAAGAUGAUGACCCCAAAGUCACAGCAAUGUUGGGAGAUGUGCCAGAUCAACUGCCAAUACCAGUGAAAAUCAAUAUGGAAAUA